rnacentral:sRNA from 1 species
AAUGUAUUCUGGGGGCUGGGCACAGUGGCUCACACCUGUAAUCCCAGCACUUUGAGAGGCCAAGGUGGGCGGAUCACUUGAGGUCAGGUGUUCAAGACCAGCCUGGCCAACAUGGUGAAACCCUGUCUGUACUAAAAAUACAAAAAUUAGCCAGGCGUGAUGGCGGGUACCUGUAAUCCCAGGUACUCAGGAGGCUGAGGCAGAGAUAAUUGCUUGAACCUGGGAGGCGGAGGUUGCAGUGAGGUGAGAUCACACCACUGUACUCCAGCUUGGGUGACAGAGCGAGACUCUGUCUCAAAAAAAAUAAAAAAAAAAUUCUGGGGAACCAUUGGUUCCUCAGGACCUUAGAGGUGUUAAAGAUGUAUAAGUUUGUUGGGAUUGGAAGGACCUACCUUCUGUGGUCAAAUAAGUUUUGGGAGAAACAAAUUGAUUUCUUGAUUGCAGGACUUCUCAGAGCCUUUAAUUUGCUAAUGUGCAUUGUGACUCCCCAAGGGAGAGUUACAAUAUGCAAUAUUCUUUGGAUUCCUUUGACCAAAGAAAUCUUUUCAAGAGCACCCCAACCCAGCUACUCAGGAGGCUGACGUGGGAGGAUUGCUUAAGGCCAGCCUAGGCAACAGCAAGACCUUGUCCCUAAAAAGGAAAAAAAAAAAAAUUACAAAAAAAGAGCAGCUGAAGAAACUAUAGGAAACACUUUGGUUAACACAAAUCUGUUCUCUGUGCUGCCUUCAAACUAAUCUAUAAGAAAUAAUGAAGUCCAUGUUAGGGAACACAGAUAACUUCUCAAAUGAGAAAUCUCAAAUCCUUGUACUUUGGAGUUAAAAAAAAUUAUUCUAGCUUUUCCAACAGUAGAGACAUUAGGAAGGCCAACUUUGGUGGGCAGAUUGGGGAUUUUCCUUUGCUUCUGAUGACUCUCUUGUGCCCUUUCUCCUCUCAGGUGCCAGAUCGGCUAGGGAUACUCACUCACCUGUAUAGGGACUUUGAUAAAUGCAGGUUUGCUGGGUUUUGCCGGAAAAUUGCAGAAGGUACUGGAGGUGGGGGGUGGGUUUUAUCUGGCUUUGUUCUCCAAAGAUCCCCAGUUGGGAGAUUGAGUGGGGUUCAGACAGGACUGACAACAAUUUUCCUCUCACCAAGUGACCUCAGUUCUCUGCCACCACUGGCCUUGGUGGUGGUGGGCCUUGGGGUGGAGGCAGAAGGGCACGUGGGUCGUGUUGACAGUUGUGUAUUACCUGUGUUUUUUUCUUUAAUAGCUAUCAUGGCUUGCUUAGGCUUUAUGCCUGUUUCUGAGGAAUUUAUGAAGCAGUUGUCCUUCGGACAAAUCUAUAACUUUCUUUUCCUAGCCAAUUAUACUCAAAGAACUAGGGGAUUAUAGAGAGGUUAGGCAUAUUUUGUUGGGUGUCAGGAGAUGCUGAACAGAGGGCUUGUAUAUCUGUACAUUGCUCUUUCUCCACUGUGAGGUCCAUCCUGCCUUAAUCUGGGUUCCUGCAGCCUCAGGGCAUUCUAGGGCUCUCUUAGAUCCUGCUGGACUGAGUCCCCUCUAGAAAAGAACCAGGAACAGGCUAACCAACAGCAGACUGUUAGAAGUCGGUGGAGGGCACUGACAGGAGUACCAGCCAGCUGUUCAGCUAGGGUCCUGGGUCCCCAGAGCUGACAGCCUCAUAGGAACAGACUUACAGUAACUCAGUGUGAGCUGGAUGCAUACUAGGUGCCAGUACAUUCCUUUAGUGGGUGCUGCCCUCCCUUCCUGAGUUGGGGGCCUGAGUGAGCACCUCUGUACAGGGCACCCCUCUACAGAGGGAGGUAGCUGAUAUGUUUGUCAGUGGAGACUUGCUUCUCCACCUACCACGAGGCGGGCAUCCAUCUUGCAGUAGACUCCUAGCUCAGGGUGCUCCUGUGAUGGCUGCCUUGCAACAGAGAGAGGAUAGCCCAGGAAUGGCAGCUCCCUCCUUUCUCACCAGUUUCCUUCUUCCGUCCUCCCUACCCCAGGUGCUCAGCAGGGAGACCCCCUUUCCCGCUAUAUCUUCAGGAAGGCUGGGGAGAUGCUGGGCAGACACAUCGUAGCAGUGUUGCCCGAGAUUGACCCGGUCUUGUUCCAGGGCGAGAUUGGACUCCCCAUCCUGUGCGUGGGCUCUGUGUGGAAGAGCUGGGAGCUGCUGAAGGAAGGUUUUCUUUUGGCGCUGACCCAGGGCAGAGAGAUCCAGGCUCAGAACUUCUUCUCCAGCUUCACCCUGAUGAAGCUGAGGCACUCCUCCGCUCUGGGUGGGGCCAGCCUAGGGGCCAGGCACAUCGGGCACCUCCUCCCCAUGGACUAUAGUGCCAAUGCCAUUGCCUUCUAUUCCUACACCUUCUCCUAGGGGGCUGGUCCCGGCUCCACCCCCUCCAAGCUCAGUGGACACUGGGUCUGGAAGGAAGGAGUCUUUUGCUUCCUUUCUCCUUUUUACAAAAACAAACAUAGAAGAAAAUAAAUGCACUUUAUCCACUCCCC